AUUGAACGCUGGCGGCAUGCCUUACACAUGCAAGUCGAACGGUAACAGGUCUUCGGAUGCUGACGAGUGGCGAACGGGUGAGUAAUACAUCGGAACGUGCCCGAGAGUGGGGGAUAACGAGGCGAAAGCUUUGCUAAUACCGCAUACGAUCUCAGGAUGAAAGCAGGGGACCGCAAGGCCUUGCGCUAACGGAGCGGCCGAUGGCAGAUUAGGUAGUUGGUGGGAUAAAAGCUUACCAAGCCGACGAUCUGUAGCUGGUCAGAGAGGACGACCAGCCACACUGGGACUGAGACACGGCCCAGACUCCUACGGGAGGCAGCAGUGGGGAAUUUUGGACAAUGGGCGCUAGCCUGAUCCAGCCAUGCCGCGUGCAGGAUGAAGGCCUUCGGGUUGUAAACUGCUUUUGUACGGAACGAAAAGACUCUGGUUAAUACCUGGGGUCCAUGACGGUACCGUAAGAAUAAGCACCGGCUAACUACGUGCCAGCCGCCGCAGUAACAC
rnacentral:rRNA from 1 species